GUGUUAAAACAUAACCAAACACUCCAGGACCUUGGGAAAGAAAUCUGUAUCAGACAUGUGGGCUUCAUUAAGGGAAAUGCCUUCAGAAGAUUAUUUUUCCAUGUUAUGAGAAAAAAUCUCAACAACCACAGCAGAUGUUCCAGUGCCCAGGUGACCUAGAAGCUUCAUGUGGAGGUGAUGGAACUUCAGUAGGCCUGGAAGUGAUGCAGUAUCUUCUGCCCUCAAUCUUGUGAUGAAUGUUUUCUCAGUAUCCUAUGCUGAAAACAGGUAGAUACUAAUAUCGAUCUUCAAGGGAGGGCUGUUGAGUAUUGAAUAAGACAAAAACAUGGAAGCAAUCAGCACCAUGCUGGAGAGCCUUUAUAUAACCAAAGAUAUUUUUGGACCAUGAAUUCAGAAAUUCUCGGAGCCACCCAUCAGUGCCUGAGCUUCAGUGAGUCCAUAUCCCAUGUCACCCACGGCAAAGGAGACUCUAAGACUUCUGAAGAGUUUCUUGCUUCUUUCCUGUGGGGCAGUGACUCCACUUCCCAGCAGUAAUGGAAUAUCCUGAAUUAGCUACAUUAAUGUUAGAACCAUUUGGACCUCACCCAGGACUUCAACUACAUUAUGAGUAACUCCUGGACGAUUGGCACAGAAGAAGGCACAAGGCAAAUACCCAUCUCUGUACACCCUGUGCUACUGUGUCAUGUGCUGCUCCAGGCAACUCCAAUGGAUUGGCCACCCUGGCCAAUGUGCCCUCCAAACACCAGCACUGAGUAGAAAGAGGCUCUGAUUCAUGAAAUGUGAAUUUAUGACAGUUGCCACUCUUAAAAAAAAAAACAAACAGACAGAACUUGAGCAAUACAUGACUGAUGCAUUCUCAGCCUGCUUCCUGUGUUCCAUCUGUCUUUCUGCCAGUGCAUUCACCCUCCAGUGAAACUUUCUACAUUCCACAUUUUCUAUCAAGAAAAGAAAGAGGUUGUAUUGUGAGGUAAGAGGCACACACACGGACUUCCUUCAGUAGCUGCAAUCCUUGCUAUAGGUCAGGCAUCAAGACAAUUCCACUUUACAGGCCUGGAUUUUGGAGAAAGAAAGGUUCUAGUAUGUUACGUUUAUGUUCCCCUGCUUUCUACAAUCCUGUUCAAAGAGUUGCUGACUUAACCACAGAGAGGAUUCCAGAACCUGAGACACAGAAUAAACUUGAGCAAUCAUAGUCCAUCCACUUCAUUGUCUCAUCAAAAACCAAAGGUCCAGUGAAGCUCUGGAACUCAACGCUGUAAAGGAGCGAAGGAGCUUCUAUACAGAGCCUGGAUGCCUGUCUCCUUAUCCUACUUCAGUGGACUUGACUGCAAUCCGGAUUAUGCUGUUUUCUAAGCAUUUAAAAUAAAAUAAAAAGUAUAAUAGUGUGAUAAGUUCUUUCACAAAGCAAGCAAUCACAUUUAUGUUUCUACUUACAUUUGGGUUUUCCAAAUAUGUGUGUGUGUGUGUGUGUGUGUGUGUGUGUGUGUAUGUAGACUUUAAACAUGGUGCAUCCAUCAUGUUGCACUAAAUCAAAACCACCAAAUAAUGAUGUAGAACUAAUAAAUCAAAACCAUCAAAUAAUGACAUAGAAAUCCAAUUCUCCCACCUUACACCCAUUAAGAUGGCUACU
rnacentral:lncRNA from 1 species